UUCCUGCUGGGUGAGGUCACAUCGUGCAGUAACGCACAUUUCUGUUUCCAGGGGCUUAGUGAUGUGGAUAGCGCCCCUUUGGAAGUCCACCCGAAGAAAGAGCAUCCAUGAAGGCCAGCCUCCAGGCUCCUUGAUUUCUCAGGGCUCUCGUGUCCACAGAAUUAGCCAUGUUGCCGGAUUGUUUUCUUCUAGCUUGGUUCUUGGGAAGGCCUUAUUUUUUCUAGCCUGGUUCUUGGGAAAGCCAGUCAUCUGUUCAAGUCAUUUGCCUGAUUUGUAUUGCUGGGUUCAUAGUGCUCAGGAGGAAGUCGGGCUCCCUGCCCCUGCGUCCGGCCGAGACCACUCGCGCCCCACCGCGCGCCGCUCGCUUGCUUCGGGAUCGCUCCUCCCGGUUCCCUGUCUCCCACCACGGUCCAGGAGCCGGGACGCCGGCACCUGCCCCCCCCCCCCCCCGCGUGAGGAUGCCACGCAGCCUUCACCUGCGGAGGGCGGGCGCGGGGCGCAGCUCGGGGCCCCUCUCGGCCGGAGAACCCCUCGACUUCGGUUUGCUCCAGCUGGUUUACCGGUAACAGAGAUCUGUCUAUAGGACAGCUGAGAUUUUACUGAAUUUUUAUUUGCCAAAUCGCAAGCCACUGUUGUGUAUGCAUGUAUACGUCCCUGCGCUCCGAGCGCGAUGCCCCCGGCCACACUGCGCCCCAGCAAACACACUGGGAAACUACCGUCAGGACGAUCCGGAUUCCAGAACAGACUGAUCGUUUCUUGUUCCCGACACCUCGCCAAGUACAAAACGCGUCUGCGUCCAUCAGCACCGGAGCAGACCAUGGCACAGACCCCCAGGGAACCCGCAUCCCACCUGGUCCCGGCUUCCAGAGCUGUUUAUACUGGUCUGGGCUGGGGGGGCUGGGGGUGGACGACAGGGGAAUCUGGAGGCUCUGGGGUGGAUCCUAACAGUAAUAAUAACAAGUAUUAUUAUUACUACUUUAUUGUUAUAACAGUAAUAGGUAUAAUAAUACUUAUAUAUUAAACAUAUAUUUAUAUUAUAUAGAUAAUAUAUAAAAUAUAAUUUAUAACAUUACAUAUUAAUAUUACACUUAUGUAUUUAUAUUCUAUUUAUGUUAUAUAAGUAACAUAAUCUAUAACAUCUAUAAUAUUGCAUAAUAUAUUUGUUAUUAUAUAAAUAAUACAUUAUCAGAACAUAUACUCUAUAAUAUAUUAUACAUAAUAUAAAAGAUAUAAUAUUACUUAUUAUUAUUAUACUUAUUACUUGUUAAGAUGAAUCGCUCUAUCAAGGUAGUGCAAAGGAACAACACACACUUGGGGAUGCCCUUUUAUUGGCUGGACACCAGGCUGGGACAUGGGAAGAGAGAAAAGAAAUUCUCAGUCCUCACAUUCUAAAAACCUUAGGUAUGGUGAAAGACAAAAUGGAGAAAUACUGCUUUGGGACCUAUUUAUAUGCCGUCCCCUUUCUGUUCCUCUGUGCCAAUACACUAGCUAAAGAAGUGACUCCCCAAAUCUUUGGGUUCUUGGGUAGAGGGAUGCAUUUCGAUGAAAUGUGAAGAUGGUCAAAAGGAAGGAAAAUGAUGUACUACUAUAUUGGGCAGUUCAAAGUCUGCAUGAUGUACGCCAGCAUGUGUGACAGGGAAUUUUAUAGGUCACCUUGGCUAGGCCGUGGUGCGGUGCCCAGUUGUUUAAUCAAACACCAGUCUAGAUGCUGUGAAGGUGUUUAGUAGAUGUGAUGAAGGUGUAAAUCAUAGACUUUGAGUGAAGCAUAUUAUCCUCUGUAAUGUGGCUGGGCCUCAUCCAAGCAUCUGAAGGUUUGAGAGCAAAGACUGGGGUUUCCUGAUGAAGAAGGAAUUCUCUUCAAAGAUGGUAAAUAGAAGAUCUGCCUAGGUCUCCAGCUUGCUGCCUCACUGAAGUUGAACUCUUACCUGAAUGUUGUCUGUCAGCCUGCCCGACAGACUUUAAAUUUGCCAGCUCCCACAAGUGUGAGCCAAUUCCUUAAAAUCUCACUCUCAGACUCCUAACUCUGGGAAACGAACUAGGGGGUGGUGGAAGGGGAGGUGGGCGGGGGGUGGGGGUGACUGGGUGACGGGCACUUGAUGGGAUGAGCACUGGGUGUUAUUCUAUAUGUUGGCAAAUUGAACACCAAUAAAAAAUAAAU
rnacentral:lncRNA from 1 species